CUGUAGGUACCUAUUAUAAUAGUUUGUUUAUACCAAUUAAUUUAUAACGCAAUAAUUCAAAAUUAAUAUAAACCAAAAUUUCCAUUACUUGUGUGUUAAUGAUUUCUGCGACAGUAUUUAAAACUCUGUCUUAAUUUGAAAGAAUGGGAAACCUGAGUUGAAGCUAGAACUUAAUACUAAAUAUAGGCGUUAUUGUAAUUAAUAUUUACACACAGCAUCAGUGAAGUUCUAACAGUGCAUUCAUCACAAAAAUAUAUGAGACAAUAACUGAAAACAACAGUACAGCAAACGAUACACCAUAUGAGAUGUUACACAUUCUAAUGAGGUCCAAAGGUUGAAUGUUAUCAAAUUUUUAUGCAAUAAAAGUGAAUGAUAAAAAUACUAUUUGUUUAUGGAACUGUACUAAACUGAAGUGGAAUGAAAAGAAUGAAUCGUCCUUCGACUGAACAGACAAUAACAGAAAUAAUUUACAUAUUUAUACUAUGUUCUUUAAUAUGAAUGAAGAACCGGGAUACAUUUUUUACACCACAACUUUAACAUUACCUAAAUAUAUGUAAUACAAUCGGAAUUAUUGCAUUAAAUAAAAUCAACUUGAAUAAAAA